GAGUGUCCCCAGCCCCCAGAAAGAAGUGACUGACAACCCAAAACCCAGGACAAGCAAAAGAGAGGAACAUAGGUUUGGUCCCCCGCCCACUCACCCAACAGUACUGAGAUUUCCAUCCAAGGAUCCCAGGCAGUUGGAAACCAACAUUAUAUCAGGACACUGUCAUCUGAACCCCUCUUCUGGAAUACCGAGGCUCACACUGCUAUGUACAAUCUGUGGAGGAGCCACACCUCUAAUAGCAUGUGAGUAACCAGAGAGGUCAGGGCCUGGGACCCAGAAAAUCGAGACUCCAGUUACCCUAUGCAAGGACUCCAGGGCAAAGAGGAGCUUCCUGAAUCCACAACAGACUCUUAAGUGCUGCUUCUGUGCCCUCGAAGGACUUGAGGCCACGGUGGCAGCUGGAUCCAGUGCUCAGGAGGGUGGAUGCUGGGGGUUCCCCAGGAUGCCUGGGCCUCCCCACUAAGCAGAUGAAUAGAAACACAGGUGCUGCUUCAGACUGUUCACAGACACUAACUGAUUUGUCCUGUGCUCCAGGAGGGGUGUGAUUCUGCCAGCUAAAGAUAGUUUACAUGUUGGAAUUCUGAAGACUCUCCAGAGGGUAUAAUGCCAGAGCUG
rnacentral:lncRNA from 1 species